AGUGAACGCUGGCGGUAGGCCUAACACAUGCAAGUCGAACGGCAGCACAGUAAGAGCUUGCUCUUACGGGUGGCGAGUGGCGGACGGGUGCGGAAUACAUCGGAAUCUACUUUUUCGUGGGGGAUAACGUAGGGAAACUUACGCUAAUACCGCAUACGACCUACGGGUGAAAGCAGGGGAUCUUCGGACCUUGCGCGACUGAAUGAGCCGAUGUCGGAUUAGCUAGUUGGCGGGGUAAAGGCCCACCAAGGCGACGAUCCGUAGCUGGUCUGAGAGGAUGAUCAGCCACACUGGAACUGAGACACGGUCCAGACUCCUACGGGAGGCAGCAGUGGGGAAUAUUGGACAAUGGGCGCAAGCCUGAUCCAGCCAUGCCGCGUGGGUGAAGAAGGCCUUCGGGUUGUAAAGCCCUUUUGUUGGGAAAGAAAAGCAGCAGGUUAAUACCCCGCUGUUCUGACGGUACCCAAAGAAUAAGCACCGGCUAACUUCGUG
rnacentral:rRNA from 1 species